CAUACCUAUUCGAAGGGAUAGGGUCGGUUCGGCCGGAUUUUACACAAGUGUUGCAUGGCUGUCGUCAGCUCGUGUCGUGAGAUGUUGGGUUAAGUCCCGCAACGAGCGCAACCCUCAUCCUUAGUUGCUAUCAGGUAAUGCUGAGUACUUUAAGGAAACUGCCAGUGAUAAGCUGGAGGAAGGUGGGGAUGAUGUCAAGUCAUCAUGGCCUUUAUGGAGUGGGCUACACACGUGCUACAAUGGUGUCUACAAUGGGCUGCAAGGUGCGCAAGCCUAAGCUAAUCCCUAAAGGACAUCUCAGUUCGGAUUGUACUCUGCGACUCGAGUACAUGAAGUUGGAAUCGCUAGUAAUCGUGGAUCAGCAUGCCACGGUGAAUACGUUCUCGGGUCUUGUACACACUGCCCGUCACGCCAUGGAAUUGGUUUCACUCGAAGCU
rnacentral:rRNA from 1 species